GGUAGUAUAGCUUAGUAGUUAAGAGCAUGGACUCAGAAGCCAGACUGCCUGGCUUUGAUUCCCGUUCUACCA
rnacentral:tRNA from 1 species